GAGGGUAUAGUUCAGUGGAAGACUGUGUGCUUAGCAUGCACGAGGCCAUGGGUUCGGUCCCCAGUACCUCCG
rnacentral:tRNA from 1 species